GAGUAACGCGUGGGUAACCUGCCUCAUACAGGGGGAUAACAGUUAGAAAUGACUGCUAAUACCGCAUAAGCGCACAGUGCUGCAUGGCACAGUGUGAAAAACUCCGGUGGUAUGAGAUGGACCCGCGUCUGAUAAGCUAGUUGGUGGGGUAACGGCCUACCAAGGCGACGAUCAGUAGCCGGCCUGAGAGGGUGAACGGCCACAUUGGGACUGAGACACGGCCCAAACUCCUACGGGAGGCAGCAUG
rnacentral:rRNA from 1 species